rfam:Eubacterium cellulosolvens 6 chromosome, whole genome shotgun sequence.
GGGGAUGUAGCUCAGUUGGGAGAGCACCUGCCUUGCAAGCAGGGGGUCGAGAGUUCGAAUCUCUUCAUCUCCA